rnacentral:guide_RNA from 1 species
AAUACAACGCUCUAAAUUGCAUCGAUGAAAGUGUGAAAGUUU